rnacentral:rRNA from 1 species
CAAUAGCGUAUAUUAAAGUUGUUGCAGUUAAAAAGCUCGUAGUUGGAUCUCUGGUCGGAAGCUCCUGUCCUCUGAUGAGCGUACAAGUGCGUCCUACCAUCCUUCUGUUAACCUUUAAGGCUUUCGCGGCUUUCUAGGGGCUCAGAUAUUUUACCUUGAGAAAAUUAGAGUGUUUCAGGCAGGCUAGCGCCGGAAUACAUUAGCAUGGAAUAAUGGAAUAGGACUUUUGCCUCUUCUGUUGGUCAUGAGGCUCGAGUAAUGAUUAAUAGGGAUAGUUGGGGGCAUUAGUACUUAACUGUCAGAGGUGAAAUUCUCGGAUUUGUUAAAGACUAACUUAUGCGAAAGCAUUUGCCAAGGAUGUUUUCAUUAA